CGUAAUUUGUAGAGGAUGCUUCGGGCAAGGCCGUGGUCUAAUUCGCUUGGAACAGCGAGUCACAGAGGGUGAGAAUCCCGUCUAGGAUCGUACGCCGCGUCCAUGUGAAGCUCCUUCGACGAGUCGAGUUGUUUGGGAAUGCAGCUCUAAGCGGGUGGUAAAUUUCAUCUAAAGCUAAAUAUUGGCCAGAGACCGAUAGCGCACAAGUAGAGUGAUCGAAAGAUGAAAAGCACUUUGAAAAGAGAGUUAAACAGUAUGUGAAAUUGUUGAAAGGGAAGCGCUUGCAAUCAGACUUGUGUCUGACGGUUCCCCUGGCCCUCGUGGCCGGGCUACUCCGUCAUGUCCAGGCCAACAUCGGUUUGGGUGGUCGGUCAAAGACCCCGAGAAUGUAUCUACCUUCGGGUCGACUUAUAGCCCGGGGUGGAAUGCGGCCCACCCGGACCGAGGAACGCGCUUCGGCUCGGAUGUUGGCGUAAUGGUUGCAAGCGGCCCGUCUUGAAACACGGACCAAGGAGUCUAACAUCUAUGCGAGUGUCUGGGCGUCAAACCCCUACGCGUAAUGAAAGUGAACGGAGGUAAGAACCCCGCAAGGGGCGCAUUAUCGACCGAUCCUGAUGUCUUCGGAUGGAUUUGAGUAAGAGCAUAGCUGUUGGGACCCGAAAGAUGGUGAACUAUGCCUG
rnacentral:rRNA from 1 species